rnacentral:misc_RNA from 1 species
AAGAAUUUUGAUUUUCCAAAGAUUUGCUCCUCGGAUUAGAAUGUUCUAUUUGCAGAUAUUUUUUAGGUAGAGUGGGAACUUGGUCCUACUACUGCAAUUUCCUGACAGAGUAAAAUUAGCAACAGCAAAGUAAACUGGAAUUUUCUUGUACAUUUAUUUAUUAAUCUUGGCCAAAAAAGCUAUUUCUCGCCCUUAUUGUUGAUAAACAUUAUCAGUGAAUCCAAACUGCAAUUAUGGAAAUUGAAUUGGGUUUCAAUUAAAUUGAAUUGCAUUGUCUUCUUCCUUGUCAA